UUUGUACAUCUCUAUGAAGGG
ensembl:piRNA 21ur-13923 ncRNA